rnacentral:rRNA from 1 species
AUUGAACGCUGGCGGCAGGCCUAACACAUGCAAGUCGAACGGUAACAGGAAGCAGCUUGCUGCUUCGCUGACGAGUGGCGGACGGGUGAGUAAUGUCUGGGAAACUGCCUGAUGGAGGGGGAUAACUACUGGAAACGGUAGCUAAUACCGCAUAACGUCGCAAGACCAAAGUGGGGGACCUUAGGGCCUCUUGCCAUCGGCUGUGCCCAGAUGGGAUUAGCUAGUAGGUGGGGUAACGGCUCACCUAGGCGACGAUCCCUAGCUCGUCUGAGAGGAUGACCGGCCACACUGGAACCGAGACACGGUCCAGACUCCUACGGGAGGCAGCAGUAGGGAAUAUUGCACAAUGGGCGCAAGCCUGAUGCAGCCAUGCCGCGUGUAUGAAGAAGGCCUUCGGGUUGUAAAGUACUUUCAGCGGGGAGGAAGGGAGUAAAGUUAAUACCUCUGCUCAUUGACGUUACCCACAGAAGAAGCACCGGCUAACUCCGUG